rnacentral:misc_RNA from 1 species
UUGAGUAUGUGCAACCCCAUUUUCCACCAGUUAUUAUUAACAUUUCCUUGCAGAAAACUUUCCCUAAUCAACACAGGUAAAUAUGAAUGGAUUUUACACAUUGGAUCAUCAAUAAAUAUGGAAAAAUAUCCCUCUUUCUCUCUCCGGUAUCUGACAUCAAAAUCGAACUAAAAUAAGAAAGCUACAACAAUAAAUGGUGGAAAAUGGGGUUGCACAUACUCAAGACAGAUGAACCACGAAAACUAUAACUCUCAUGCCUCAAGGGGCAAUGACCGCACUUCUGCUGCUUUGAUUGCUCUCUGGCCAACAACAACAGGACACGAAGGGAUCCCAAAUAGGAUAAAUAAGCAUUCUUCAGACUAUGCUAGGAGGAUCCCCCACCCAAUUGCAAACAGC